GUGAGUGUAGCUCAACUGGCAGAGCACCGGACUGUGGCUCCGGGGGUUGAGGGUUCGAGCCCCUUCACUCACC
rnacentral:tRNA from 1 species